AUGUCUUCCCACAAAGGCUCUGCCUUGGCACAGGGCAAUGGGCUCCUUCUAGUGACAGAGAGGCUGACACAGUGGAGCUGGCUGAGCAGGGACCCCUGCUGGAAGAGAAGGGCAAGCGGGCAGCCACCAGCCCAGCCGAGGCUGAAGAAAAACAACAAGCCCAGCGCCUCAGGAAGAGGAGGAAGAGGUGCGGGUACUGACCCUCCUUCUGCAAGUCCACCAUGCCAUGGAGAAGAUGGAGGAGUUCGUAUAUAAGAUCUGGGAGGGAUGUUGGAGGGUCACUCCAUACGAUGUGCUUCCUGACCGGCUGAAAGACAAUGACUACCUGCUACAUGGCCACAGAUCACCCAUGCCCUCCUUUUAGGCUUGCUUCAAGAGCAUCUUCUGCAUUGGCAACAUCUGGACACAUCUGCUUGGUUUUGUGCUAUUUCUUUCUGGGAAUCUUGACCAUGCUGAGACCAAAUAUGUACUUCAUGGCUCCCCUACAGGAGAAGGUGGUCUUGGGAUGUUCUUCCUUGGUGCAGUGCUCUGCCCUAGCUUCUCCUGGCUCUUCCACAAUGUCUAUUGUCAUUGAGAUAAGGUCUCUCGGACUUUUUCCAAACUGGACUAUACAGGGAUUGCUCUACUGAUUAUAGGGAGUUUCAUCCCCUGGCUCUACUACUACUCCCCACAGCCAAGGCUCAUCUACCUCUCCAUCGUCUGUGUCCUAGGCAUGUUUGUCGUCAUUGUGGCACAAUGGGACCAGUUUACCACUCCCAAGCACCGGCAGACAAGAGCAGGAGAGUUCUUGGGACUUGGCUUGAGUGGUGUUGCACCCACCAUGCACUUUACUAUCGCUGAGGGCUUUGUCAAGGCCACCACAGUGGGCCAGAUGGGCUGGUUCUUCCUCAUGGCUGUAAUGUACAUCGCCGGAGCUGGCCUUUAUACUGCUCGGAUUCCUGGAAAAUUUGACAUAUGGUUUCAGUCUCAUCAGAUUUUCCACGUCCUGGUGGUGGCAGCAGCUUUCGUCCACUUCUAUGGGGUGUCCAACCUUCAGGAAUUCCGUUACAGCCUAGAAGGUGGCUGUACCGACAGAUAA